UGAUUUGUGCGUGAGAAGUCAGCUGUUGAGUACCAGCUGAUUCAAAUUUACUGAUGCAGGAGGAAUAAUAGAGGGAAAACCAGGUGGGAUAUAUAUAAUCGCAAUUGGUCAGUCAUCUUCAGUUGUUUUGUGAGAAGUCUCGAGCAUGAACAAUUCUGUCUCCAGGAGGGAUUGGGAUCGAAACCCACAAAGUAUGUACAGGGUUCCAGUUUCUUCUUCUCUUUCUUCGUCUGCCGUUUCAAUUCCAGUGCGCUUUGUGAAUAUAGAUUCCCCAUGGGCUAUAACGGCUCCUCCUCGUCAUAUGGACGAGAUCCCAGCAGCCGUCAAAAUACAGUCUGUUUUCAGAGGGUUUUAUGUCAGGAAGACAAAGACACUGGAGAUUCUCAAGGUUAUUGCCGGCGUCAAGGCUAGUAUGGAGGAAAUGCGACGGCAUAUAAAUGAUCCUCACUGUCUUGAAUUGAUGCGUCAAAAUGAGAAAGAGCGUCUUAAAAUCGCAGAGGGGAUUAUGUCGCUGUUGCUCAAACUUGACGAAAUUCAGGGAGUGAAAUCAUUUUUACGGGAGGCAAGAAGGGCUGUAGCUCAUGAACUGGUCAGCCUUCAUGAAAGGGUGGAUGCCAUAAGCACCAGUAAAUUUAAAGAAGAAGCAGGUACAGAAUUUCCAGUUGACCUUCAGGCCAGAGAUGAUAAGAGUUGUAAUAUUGGGAGAAAUCGGGAGGGGUGGAAAGGUGCAGGGAACGGAUGUUGGUUGAAGAGACGGAUGAGGAAAAUAAUGAGUAGGAGCUACUGGACUGAUUGAUGUUGGCACCUUCUAACUAGAUUUAUAGGGGGAAACCCAAAAAAAGUGGUGGAUAAUAUAUAAUUGCAAUUUAUCUUAUUUGGUUUGUCUAUUUCAAUUGUCGUGAGAAGUCUAGAGAAUGAAAAACUCUGUCUCCAGGAGCGAGUGGAAUUGAAACCCACAAAGCAUGUAUGGUGUUCCAGUUUCAACUUUCAGGUUCUUUUUCUUCCUCAACUGUUUCAAUUCCAGUGUGCUUUGUGUAUAUAGAUCACCCAUGGUGUGCAAUGGUUCCUCCUGAUCAAAUUGAAAGACCACUGCAGCCAUCAAAAUAUAGUAUGUUUUGAGAGGGUUUUACAUCAGGAAGACAAAGACACUGGAGAAACUCAAGGUUAUUACUGGCAUUAAGGCAAGUUUUGAAGAAAUGCAGUUGUGUAGAAGUGAUCCUCAUGUUCUUCAAUUGCUGAGUCAAAAUGAAAAAAAGCAUAUCAAAAUCGCAGAGGGAAUAAUGGCCCUAUUGCUCAACAAAAUUCAGGAAGUGGAAUUUUUUGUGUGGGAGCAAGAAGGCCUGUAGCUCAUGAAUUGGUUAGCUUUGAGGAAAGGUGGAUGACAUAAGCACCAGUAAAUCUAAAGGAGCAGGUACAGAAGUUUCAAUUAACCUUCAGACCAGAAAGGGCGAGAGUUGUAAUUUUGGGAGAGAUCGGGAGGGUAGGAAGGGUUCACAGACUCAAUGUUGGUUGAGGAUACGGAUCAGGAAAAUGAUGAGUAGAAGCUACUGGACUGAUUGAUGUUGGCACCUCUUAACAAUUUCAAUUAAAUGAUUUUGAGCUGAUGAAGUGUAGGGUUCAGAUGCUCAGUCAUGCUUAUUAGGAUGCCCAGUUCAAAUUUCUUUCAGGGAGAAAUUCUUGAGCAAGGAGCUCAACUAAAUUGUGGGAGGAAUCAUCCUGGCACUGGGAACAUGAAAAGUGCAACUGUCUCUCUUCCGCUUUUCUCUUGCAAGAGUGUUUAUUCUACCUAAUUAAGCAACAUAUAUUAGUUGCUAAUAGAUAAAUGCUGUUAGCAUGAAGUUAGAACAUCCUACCAAGGUCAUAGAGGCGGGAGGAGGGUGAAAAUUGCUUGGUCCAUAGAUUGUUGAAGACAUUGGGAAAUGAAGAGAAGAUAUUCUGAAUACAUCCACAGAUAAUUAUAGCUGCGGGAAAUUUAUUAAGAAGGUACUAAAUUUGUCCAUCAGGCUGUGGUUUGGCAAUAGGUUGGAGAGCGUAUCACUUAAAUGAACAAAUUGAAAAAAAAAGAAGAUACCAAAAUUUGUUCAAUAUGAUGUAGCAGCUGGAUGAAAAAAAUAAAAGCAGCAUUUUAAAUAAACUACCUACUGUGCCUUAUAUACUGAAUGGUAUAGUUCGACUCCUCUAUGACAAGAGUAAGUUCUGCCCUAUUGUUAGGUGCAAAUAUGAUGCAACAUAUUCUUCUUCAUUUCUAAAUAUAAUAUACUCGGAAUUUCUAUUAAAGGAAGAUCAAGUGCAAAUUUCCAUCUCGAACAGGAUGAUGAUGGAUGGAAUAAUGUAGGUACUGACGGGAAUAAGCUGAUAGGGGUUGAGAAUCAUUGAUUAAUACAUUGGAGAAUGAUGGUAAAAGCUGUAAAAAUCCUUGUCAGCAGCAUGAUUAGUCCGACGGUGUGGAGAUUGAUUACCUUAAGCCACUUCUUCUCAAGACACUAUACCUUCUGUUGUGGUUUGAAACUUUCCGAGAGAUAUUUUGUUUCAAAUCGAUACUCUCAGAAUGUAUUGGCACCAUAUUGAUGGUUUGUUUAUUGCAAUUUACUGUUUGGACCGUA